UAAUGCAACGCACUCUCAGCUAUAUCAGUUUGCUGACAAAUAGGUAUUGCAAUGUUAAGAUUGUAUACAUACCUAUAUAGUUAACCAUAUUAAACACUUAAUAUGAGAUAGACCCAAUUAUUAUUGUUAAGAGGAUGUCAGCGCAAUGUUUGUUUUCUCUCCAUAGGCGACGCGCAACACGUAGACAAAACGCAUUUACGCAAAAUCAUUAUUUUUAUGUUUUUGACUAAGUGAAAGCAUUUUAUUAGCAGAAGAUCUGAGGGAGAAAACAAAUAUUGAGCUGACAUCAUAUUUUAAUGCAUACGAAAUCGAGGAUUUUUUAACAAGGUUGUCCACGUCAUGAAAACACAGAGAUAAUGUAUAAUAAUUGAUUAAGUCAAUGAUUAAUCAAUAAUAUUAGGUACUUUAAAGUUGAAGUGCAAAAUUAAUUACAAAAAUUAAAAGCAUGACGUAUCUUUAUACAGGUUAGCAAAGCAGUGUUUGCAUUAUCUAGACAACUAAAUGUAAUAGAAUGCGGAGUAACGGUGCGUUCAUGUUUUCGACCGUGCGGAGAUGUACGGUGCAUGCAGAGUUACGGAUUCACAAAAUAUUUUUAUUCAUGCGGAGUUACGGUGCGUCCAGAUUUUCAUGUGUCAGGGUGUGUUCUCUCGCAGUACAUAGUGUAUAUUGAGUCGGCAGUAGGUUAUCGCAGAUACAAGCGACUUAUUAUCUAUAAUAGAGGUAGACGCAGAUAUAGUUCUGGUAACUGAUGGUCGGUAAAGUAUGUACCAAUACAUAUAAUUGUGGCCAUGUACCUAUAUUCUUUGAUAUUUUUUAUUAUUAUUAAAUUCAAUACAACUAAUGAUAAAUCAUACAAGCUUCUUUUUACUCACAAACAAAUAUUUUAUCGUACAUAUAUUGGAGAAAAAUAUGUCAAAAGUUGACAGUUUCAAUAUUGUCUACCUAUAAAUAGCGUGAAAAAUCCAAAAUAUUUAGAAAACUAUGCCGUCAUAUGUCUAUAAAAUGCCAACAUAAAUAUUAUUUUUGAGCUACAAUAUAAAGUAAAUAACGUUUCGCCACUUCAUACCAAACCAUCGACCAGGACUAAAUUGGCAUUUGACACUCGUCCAAAGAGAUCCGUGAGGCCCACUAACAUCGGUUAAACUCACGCACAUGCACAAUAGUUCGAUAGGUCCUCGUUUCGUUCAUAAUCGUUUAAAUAUGUAAUCAAAUUUGGAUUGACUUUUUGUAAUUCGAUUAGCUUCAUAUUCAUACUUGGCGUAAAUUAUAGAAGAAACUUUUCAAAAUGUAUUUUUGAAUUUUGAUGUUGAGUUGAUUUGUUUUUAUUAUACCGACAUCAUCGU